AGAAAAAGAAGAAACAAUAGGAGACAAAGGAAUGCCUCCUUCCCAGAUCGGUGUCAUUGUAGUAGCUUUCAUUGUCCUGCUGGUGCUCGGCCUCGUGUGCUUCCUGUGCUACGAAUAUAGACUUUGGAGUAAAUGCUGUGGCCAGACUGGAGGCAUCUACCCUCGUGUGAUGUUUAAGAAGGCUCCGCAAGCAAAAGCUGAUGUGGAGACAGGAGGAGGAUAGAGCAGCUUCUCGGUGCACGAUAAAUCUAUAUCCAUGCUUUCUCCAUCCUUUCCCCUGCAUUACUUAAGUAGCAGUAUGCUUGCAUUAAUAUAUCAUCUCUGCGGGUUUGCUUUUCUGUAUUUUGCCGGGCGGCUUUUUGGGACAAGACAGUUACAGAAUGAAAUCCAUGUUACAGGAUAUUAGAGGCUUGAUGUGCCAA